rnacentral:rRNA from 1 species
AUUGAACGCUGGCGGCAGGCCUAACACAUGCAAGUCGAACGGUAACAGAAAGCAGCUUGCUGCUUUGCUGACGAGUGGCGGACGGGUGAGUAAUGUCUGGGAAACUGCCUGAUGGAGGGGGAUAACUACUGGAAACGGUAGCUAAUACCGCAUAACGUCGCAAGACCAAAGAGGGGGACCUUCGGGCCUCUUGCCAUCGGAUGUGCCCAGAUGGGAUUAGCUAGUAGGUGGGGUAACGGCUCACCUAGGCGACGAUCCCUAGCUGGUCUGAGAGGGUGACCAGCCACACUGGAACUGAGACACGGUCCAGACUCCUACGGGAGGCAGCAGUGGGGAAUAUUGCACAAUGGGCGCAAGCCUGAUGCAGCCAUGCCGCGUGUAUGAAGAAGGCCUUCGGGUUGUAAAGUACUUUCAGCGGGGAGGAAGGGAGUAAAGUUAAUACCUUUGCUCAUUGACGUUACCCGCAGAAGAAGCACCGGCUAACUCCGU